AGGACAGAGGUGGGGAGAGAGACAGAGAGGGAAAGAGACUCCUUCUCGCAUUGAGAAGUUCAAGUUGUGUCGGAAAACAAUAUUGGAUCUCCGGGACUAUAACAGCCUGCUCCAGCCUCAUCCAGGAUGCAUCUUCUAGCGAAAUACAUUGUCAUCCUCCAAAUUAUUGUCCUUUUUGCAACAACCUGCCAGACUUUGUCAUGCGUUCCUUGUCAUGAAUUGACAUCCAUGAGGAUCCAACGGAUUGCAAAGGGGGGCUGGUGCGCAGUACAUGUGGCUGCUGCAAUGUGUGUGCUAAGGUGAAGGGCGAGAGAUGUGGUGGCCCAAUGGGUCUGAAAGGGAGAUGCGACGAGGGGCUGAAGUGCGUGUACCCCGAAUGGCUUCGUAUCGACUCGACCGGAGUUUGCGAGUAAAUCUGAGUUGAGGCAGGGAAUGGGAGUCAUUAUAUGGAUUCAAGAGGAGCUCAUCCAGAAUCAUCUACCCAACAUGUGCUUGGUGUGAAAUGAGUGCCAAUCAGAAUGCUAUGCUUUACUGUCUGCUGCCUUAUGUUAUGCCAUACUGCAUAUUCAAAGGACUUAACCCUUUGUUAACACAGGGCAUCUGAGCAGACAAAACAAAUGUGGAUCAUUUUCUUAACAAGUUGGGUAUUUCAUUUAACUUAAGAACACCCAUGUGUAUUCCCGGUCAAAAAUGGCCGGACUUUAUAAAUGAAUGGGUAAAAAAAUGGUCAUUGUAUAAAAUCGAGUUCAGGCGCAUACCUAUUGAUCAGAUAAACUGUAUUUGUGCUUCUGUACACACACACACACACACACACACACACACACACACACACACACACACACACACACACACACACGCACACUCCCCCUCUUUGCUUCUAUGCCCCCACUGGAACUUUUCCCCAAUAGUGUUUUCCCCUUUCUGACUUACAGUACAUGAGCUCAAGUUAAUGAGGCCUGAUUGCCAUGUAUAGCAAAUACAAGUUCAAAACUGGUCAUAUUCAGGACUUACGUUGAUACAAAGUUCUAUCACAACAUUAUGAUGAUAUAUGCAUUACUAUGGAUUUACAACAAGUUAUAAUGCAGUGGUCGUUUUUGACCGGAGACGCAAAUCUAGUAAACAUAAAAUGAAUAAAACAGGAGGGUUAGUUUAGUCUGUGUAUCACCAUGUACCAAUUACAUAUGUGAAAUGCAAUGCAAUAUAAAUUGCUUUUUAGUUAACCAGCAUUCAUAAAUGAAUACAUUUGUGGUCUGGUGCAAGAGCCAAAGAAUAAAUGGGAACCAUCUAGCCUUCUGAGGAACCAUUUCAGAACCUUUUUUUUCUCAGUGUAUCUUCCACCCUCUGCAAAUCAUUAUGCCUCUGACCAAGAACAGUUUUGCCUGUGAAACCACCGAUGAUCACUCUGCCUUUGAAUUCAAUUAAUUGGCGAGAGAAUGCAUGUAGUCACAAAGAGGUUUCAGUGAAGCGAAUCCCUUUGCACGUUGCCUCCAUUUCUUUUCACCACAAUAGAGCCCAGAGUGAUGCAGGGCAAAAGCUCAUGUCCCUCAACUCUGCCCCAGAUGGAUGAAACUUUGUUCAGAGACAGAUGUCUGUGUACUUUACAUUCUGUACUUCAAUCAUUCACUCGACUUCACUCAACAUGCCAUGUUAGAUAGAUCUAACAUGCCAAACAUCCCUUCAUCAUUGUAAUGUCCAGUCUGUUAACCGAGGUUUGUGCAUUCACUUUGGGACAAUUUCUUCAGAUAUGAGGGUAAUACACAGUGACAACUACACAUGGGAAUGCUUUUCUUUUCUUGUCUUCUCUUUGAUUAAAGCCCCCCUAAAGAGGUGGUUCGAUGGCACAUAAACUCUCAAUAGGGCGAUGACACUUCUGUCGCACACUGAGCAGGUCACAUCUCUUGCAAAACAUCCGUUAAAAGUUUUCUGUUUGGGUAGGAACACUGUCCCCCUCCAAGAUCAAAAUGGAAAAGAGCUGCUAUAUGCUACAGGAAUUUGGAGGUCUCUUACUACAGACUCUGCUGGUGGUGAAUUCCCUUUAUAUAAUAUGGGAAUUAUGUUCAUUCUUUGUUGCAAAAUACACAUAUUUAGUUUGUUCAUUAUAGCACCUCUCAACUGGGGGACCAUGAGAGCAAAUCUUCUUUUGUGUUGCUUCAAAGCACUGAUCUGAUUCAUCGGGCUAUAAUCCAGCGCAAACUUUAUGGGCGCUGCCAUCUUGAAUAUCGCCAUUACUGCGUGCCUGCGAGUGUGACGAGUGACAUUUGCCUGUGCUUUUCAAUGAAAGCAUCCUGUCAGAGAAUGUCUAACAAGAGAUCCCGCUCAUGAAAGAAAAUGUCAGGUGAAAGGGAACAUUGGAUCAAUGAUGUCAGGCUGUGCCAAAACUUACCAAUGAAGGUAAUUUAUUAACAACAUAAGGUAUUAAGACGUGUAUUAAUGACAGCUAACCUCUGCAACAGCCGCCUAUGGAACCAACGGGCUAAUUUCUUAGCAGCCAGCCACGCAGUAAUGGCGGUUUUGUGUUACUUCCGUGUUUCGCUGGAUUAGUGUAUAGAGCACAGUGAUUAAUACAUGGGUGCCAGCAACACAAGACAAGGGAGCUUUAUGUCUAUAGCACAGUUCAUACCCAAGGAAACUCAAUGGGUUGUACAUCCUCUGAGAACAGAGAAUAGCACACAAAAUCAAUGAACGCAUUACUGCCAUCUGCUGGACUGAGGUGUGAUGGCACGUGUACCCAGUAGCCUCAUUCUGGCUUCCAAUGGCCGCUGGAUGAAUAAGGCGAAAGGCAUUGCCUGCUAUAUCUUCCCAAGGAAAAGCAGGCAAAAUGGCUAUUCCAAUCAAAGAUUCUAAAGCGCUUCAGAGCACCUGAAUAGAAUGUACCCCAUUUGAACAGAUGGCACAGAUAUUUCAACUGGAAUAGUUUAAUGUGUGUGAGUCCCAAUCCUUCUCUUGCCAUCUUUCUGCCUUUCUUUUGUUCACCAACACUGAUGAGACUAAAUUAGAUUAAACUUUAUUGUCAUUGUGUGUAAAAUAGAGAGACAAUCAAAUGCAAGUACUGUAAGUGCAUUGAUCUAUUCUGUAAAAUGACAUCACAGAAAAGGACAAUGAAAAUGUUAACUUUCAGGUAAUGAGUAUUUGAUGUGUUUGUCCAUUCUUCUCUGCUGUGAGCAUUUGGAAGGAUCAUUUUGUUUUCAUUCCCUUUCCCCUCUCCAUUUUAUUGUUAUCAAUUGUUUUAUAUACAGUACAUAUACAGUAACGCCAGUAUUUCUCGCCUCCUUCUGCCCUCCCCAUCUUCUUUUGUCUUUUUCACUCUUCAGUUGUUUUUCCACUCUUUUCAUUAGGCGGUGCCGGUUUGGAUUGAUUUUUGUCUUCUGUAGUGCUCCUCCUGAAGAGCAGAAGAAGCCACUCCAUCACCCAACCCACUGCUCAACAGUGGACACGCAGGUGGCCUUGCUUCUCUAAGCAGUAGCAUAAUAGUAGGGAUCCCUAUUGUUUUCAUAUUGUGUGUGUGUGUGUGUGUGUGUGUGUGUGUGUGUGUGUGUGUGUGUGUGUGUGUGUGUGUGUGUGUGUGUGUGUUUGCACACGUGCGUUCACAUUCACUAGUGAGGGGGGAGCAUCUCAUGCUCAUGCAAUGUCCUCCACACCUAUUACCCAUCUCACCAAGGGCAUCGUUGGCGAUCAAUAAGAGAAGAGAGGCAGGAUGUUGAGCACCCGAGGGCAGCCUUGACAGCAGGAGGGAGUGUGCCGGAAUUACCGAGCUGUGAUGGGAGCUCUUGUUUGUGUCUCUCUGACACUUCAAGGCUGUAGUCAGAGAACUAAGCAGGUGCAUUAAUCUGUGGAUGAUACGGAUCGGAGAGGGACCCCCCCACUGGAAUACCAUCCUGAGAGGAAAAGAGAACCAACAUUUUAUGGGCCACAGAAUGGAA